rnacentral:rRNA from 1 species
UAGGGAAUCUUCGGCAAUGGACGGAAGUCUGACCGAGCAACGCCGCGUGAGUGAAGAAGGUUUUCGGAUCGUAAAGCUCUGUUGUAAGAGAAGAACGAGUGUGAGAGUGGAAAGUUCACACUGUGACGGUAUCUUACCAGAAAGGGACGGCUAACUACGUGCCAGCAGCCGCGGUAAUACGUAGGUCCCGAGCGUUGCCCGGAUUUAUUGGGCGUAAAGCGAGCGCAGGCGGUUAGAUAAGUCUGAAGUUAAAGGCUGUGGCUUAACCAUAGUAGGCUUUGGAAACUGUUUAACUUGAGUGCAAGAGGGGAGAGUGGAAUUCCAUGUGUAGCGGUGAAAUGCGUAGAUAUAUGGAGGAACACCGGUGGCGAAAGCGGCUCUCUGGCUUGUAACUGACGCUGAGGCUCGAAAGCGUGGGGAGCAAACAGGAUUAGAUACCCUGGUAGUCCACGCUGUAAACGAUGAGUGCUAGGUGUUAGACCCUUUCCGGGGUUUAGUGCCGUAGCUAACGCAUUAAGCACUCCGCCUGGGGAGUACGACCGCAAGGUUG